UUUCCGUAGGUGAACCAGCGGAAGGAUCAUUAUUGUGUAACCGAGGUGCGAGGGCUGUCGCUGACCCGAAAGGUCGUGCACGCCCGAGUGCCCUCACACACAUCCAUCUCACCCCUAUGUGCACCACCGCGUGGGUCCCCCUUUGGCUUGUUCGGAGGGGGGCUUACGUUUUCACACAAACUUUGUAUGCAGUGUAGAAUGUAUUUUUUGUUUUUGCGAUCACGCAAUCAAUACAACUUUCAACAACGGAUCUCUUGGCUCUC
rnacentral:misc_RNA from 1 species